rnacentral:rRNA from 1 species
GAUGAACGCUGGCGGCGUGCUUAAUACAUGCAAGUCGAGCGAACGGACGAGAAGCUUGCGUUUUUGAUGUUAGCGGCGGACGGGAGAGUAACACGUGGAUAACCUACCUAUAAGACGGGGAUAACUUCGGGAAACCGGAGCUAAUACCGGAUAAUAUUUUGAACCGCAGGGGUGAAAAGAGAAAGACGGUCUUGCGGUCACGUAUAGAUGGAUCCGCGCUGGAUUAGCUAGUUGGUAAGGUAACGGCUUACCAAGGCAACGAUGCAUAGCCGACCGGAUAGGGUGAUCGGCCGCACUGGAGCUGAGCCGCGCUCCAUGCUCCUACGGGACGCCGCAGUCGGGUACCUUCCGCAGUGGGCGAGAGCCUGACGGAGCAGCGCCGCGUGAGUUAUGAAGGUCUUCGGAUCGUAAAGCUCUGUUAUUAGGGAAGAACCUCUGUGUAAGUAACUGUGCACAUCUUGACGGUACCUAAUCAGAAAGCCCCGGCUAACUACGUG